rnacentral:rRNA from 1 species
CCUACGGGUGGCAGCAGUGGGGGAUAUUGCACAAUGGGGGGAACCCUGAUGCAGCGACGCCGCGUGGGUGAAGAAGCGCCUCGGCGCGUAAAGCCCUGUCAGCAGGGAAGAAAAUGACGGUACCUGAAGAAGAAGCCCCGGCUAACUACGUGCCAGCAGCCGCGGGAAGACGUAGGGGGCAAGCGUUAUCCGGAUUUACUGGGUGUAAAGGGGGCGCAGACGGCGCUGCAAGCCAGGAGUGAAAGCCCGGGGCCCAACCCCGGGACUGCUCUUGGAACUGCGUGGCUGGAGUGCAGGAGGGGCCGGCGGUCUUCCUGGUGUAGCGGUGCACUGCGUAGAUAUCAGGAGGCACCCCGGUGGCGAAGGCGGCCUGCUGGACUGCAACUGACGUUGCGGCCCGAACGCGUGGGGAGCAAACAGGAUUAGCUACCCGAGUAGUC